AAAUCAGCCGGUGAAUUUCAUGGCCAAGUUUAGACUUGUAUCUGUUCUUAUCAGUUUAAUAUCUGAUACGUCCUCUGUUUGAGGACUGCGUAUUAAAUGGGUUUUUGCAUUUCAAAAAAAGGGCCUCAAGACACAGUGGUUAAACUGCAGUACUGCAGCCAAAAUUCU
rnacentral:snRNA from 1 species